rnacentral:lncRNA from 1 species
CAAGUAGUAACAACUGUACUACUAAAUUCUCUAAAGUUCUCUCAUUUCUUUAAGUUUGACAUUAAUAUUUUGUCUUUAUUUUAUAACACGUUAUCAUCACGAGACUCUACUUUCUUAAAAUUUGAUGGCUAAGAAAAGAAAAUUGAUUUGGAAGGUGGAGAAUGCAAGACCGCAAGAACUAGGUGAUCAUCACGACUUGGGUUUCACUUUUCUACUAGUUAUAAUAAGAUAAGUAUAUUAUUAAGUCAUGUUCUUUAAUUAAUUUUAAAAAUAAUAUUGAUAAUGACAAAGUGGUGAUAUUGUUAUAGAUUGAAGUUUGAGUUUAUUAUACUUUGGCCUAAUAUGUUAUUGGUCGAGGGUGUGAUGAUGGAUUUAAAUCUCAUGCCAUUAGAGGGUAAGACAUUGGGUUAUGAGUUUUGAUGCACCAUGAUGAUAAGAUGUUGGGUUCAAGUCCCAUUGAUUUUUGGCCUAAGAUGUCUUUAUAUGGAUAAGAUAUAGAGUUUUAAUCUCAAUACAAUAUAUUGAUGAUAUAAUAAUGACUAAAGCAAAUUUUGUUGAAAAUUCAUGAAAUAUAUCCCAUUGAAUAUACUCCAUUCCUUGAAGUGAAUGUGGUAGCAUGCAGUGUGUAGUAUGUCUGAAAGAAGAUAUGUG